rnacentral:sRNA from 1 species
GUCGGGCCUGGUGGCCCACACCUGUAAUCCCAGCGGCUCAGGAGGCUGAGGCAGGAGAAUCAAGAGUUGAAAACCAGCCUCAGCAAUUUAGAGAGGCCCCAAGCAACUCAGUGAGAUCCUGUCUCUA